rnacentral:rRNA from 1 species
CCUACGGGUGGCAGCAGUGAGGAAUAUUGGUCAAUGGGCGCGAGCCUGAACCAGCCAAGUAGCGUGAAGGAUGACUGCCCUACGGGUUGUAAACUUCGUUUAUAAAGGAAUAAAGUGAGUCACGUGUGCCUUUUUGUAUGUACUUUAUGAAUAAGGAUCGGCUAACUCCGUGCCAGCAGCCGCGGUAAUACGGAGGAUCCGAGCGUUGUCCGGAUUUAGUGGGUUUAAAGGGAGCGUAGAUGGGUUGUUAAGUCAGUUGUGAAAGUUUGCGGCUCAACCGUAAAAUUGCAAUUGAUACUGGAAGUCUUGAGUACAGUUGAGGUAGGCGGAAUUCGUGGUGGAGCGGUGAAAUGCUUAGAUAUCACGAAGAACUCCGAUUGCGAAGGCAGCUUACUAAACUGCCACUGACAUUGAUGCUCGAAAGUGUGGGUAUCAAACAGGAUUAGAUACCCCUGUAGUC